CAAAUAAUCAACUUUUAAUUUCAAGUACUUGGUCUGUUUCUUAUUCCGUAUGCUUAAACUAUCAUCCGGAUUUCUCCUUUCAACUUCCAUGAUACUAUUUGCGAGAAACUUAGCUCUUCCUUUAAAAGCAAAAUUUAGGCAUCAUCGUUAUUAUUAUUAGGUUAUAUGGUUACACAUUUCAUGCCCAUCACUUUUAUCUAAGUGACCUUCAGCAAGUUUCCUACAGUCUCUGAGCCUGGAACUCCUUAUUUUAAGGUGGACAAUUCUAUCACUGGUUUAAUAGUGGCUCUUAUCAUAGAAAUAAUAAUUUUAAGUGCUUAGCACAGUGCUGACACUGACUAAGGUUUCUCAUAGAUAAUACUGAUGAAGAUGGUGAUGAUUAUGUUGAUAUUAUGCUGUGCCUAUUUAAAGCAGGCACAACAUUCUAAAUCUUUUUCUUGUUGAGUUAUCUAGAUUGAUAUUUCAAAAAGCCAUUCUGUGUUACUUCUAUGACUAAUUACAUAUAGGAGCUUAUGAAAAGCAUAAGACUUUGUCUUUAGAAAAAUUUAUUUUAUUUAGUUUAAACAUUCUUCAUGGCCUAUUUUAUACAAUUAAUUCUUCACAUGUACUUCCAAAUAGAUUUUAAUGUCUCUGUACUUAUACCUUAGGAGUAAUGAGGUAAUGUCUAAAAAGAACUGUGAAUUCUUUGGAGGAAAUACAAGGUCAGAGUCCAAAUUGUGAUAGGUCUUAUGCUUGUGUUUACAAAUCAGAAAGAGAGCUCUUAUAAUUCAGAGGACAUGGGCUGCCAAACACUACUGUAUUUGAAGCAAUAUCAUAACAGUUCAGGAGGAAUACAAAAGUGAGCAAGGAUGCAAAACUGAUGAAAUGAGGUAAAAUGGGUCCUAAUAAGAAAAAAUUGAAAUGAAAAAUGUCAAAGUAAAACAAAUUUGAAGAAACAGAAUAAUGACAUAGAAUCAACUUACUUAGUAGCCUCUUGCAACAUGGUUAAUCUUUCAUUCCUCCUUGAAACACUUUCUUUACUUGUUUCAGAAUAAAACGUCAUUCUGUCUUUGUCUUCAUUCCUGCUCUUGACCUUGUUCUCUUAGCUCUGAUACUGGCUCCCUUUCAACUCCCUGACCUCUAAAAGUGAGACUGUUCUAACACCCCGUCAUUGAACUUUUUUCUAGCUAUGCAUUCUCCCUUAAUGAUCUCAUACAGACUCACAGCUUUAAAUAUCAUCUAUAUGCUAAUAAUACCAACUGUAUUUCUCCAGCUUGGACCUAUCCCCUUGACUCUACACUGGUUUAUCAACUGCUUAUUUGACAUUUCAACUUGAAUGUCUAAUAUGUGUCUCAAAUUUAGCCUGCCUAAAACGGAGCCUUAAAUAACUUUCUUUCCACCAUUGCCCUGGUCCUUCACAAAUCUCCUCUCACAUUCUUUGAUAUUUCAGGACAUGGCCAAUCAUUUCGCUCGGGCCCCAAAUCUUCUCGUCAUCCUGGCUCCUCUGUUUCCAUCGCACCACACAUCCAAUCCACCAGCAUGCUUUGUCAGCUCUGUAUCUUCAAGUUAUAUCUGGAAUCUGAGCACUUCUUAACACCACCAGUUUUACCUCCCUGAAUUGCUAUAAUAGCCUCUUUACCAAUCUCUCAGCUUCUACCCUUGCCUUGCUAUAAGCUCUCAAAUAGUGGUGUGGUUGACAGACCGUAGCUCCGGUUGGUCAUUUCCAGCUACAUUCAUUUGGCAUCUUAUAAUGCAUCUCUAGCAGAGCCAGUAUCACAUCAGGAACUGUUAUUUGAAAGUUAAGUUUAGUUCUACUUUGCAGAUAGCAUGGCCUUGCUCUGGAGUCCCAGCAUACUACAUUAUAAUUUUCCCAUUAAGCAUUACAUAAUCCCUACAUAAUGUCUUUUUCUAUCACAGAUAUUCCUAAGAUCAAAAGAUCUGUCAGGUUAAAUUACCCAAGCUUAUUGUCACUUACGCCAAAAUGUGAAAACCUGGAUUGCUAAAAAGCCUUUUUCCUGCACAGUAUGCUACUAAAACUUUGCAGUUAUUCAUGUCAAUCUGUAUAAUAGCCAGAGAAAUCUUCCAGAAUGUGGCCUAUCAGGAAUGGUGCUUCCUUCUUUAAGAUGAAAGCUUCAGGACGCGCUAAUUGUUUCUUAUUUUUAAGGUGUGUCCUGGGAUACCAUAAACUACUGGUCCUCUAAAAAUUAUUGUAUUAAUGUGGUAGUAUCUUAACUCUUGACAGAAUGUAUGUCUCAGUCUCUAAAGUGCCUGUGUCUUUCCAAGGCCUCCAACCCACUUGCCACUUGUUUCUUUCUGGGUCUGAUUAGUACAAUGUUAUAUAGUGGACCCAUAGGACAUUCUACUGAAUGUCCAUCAGUUCUGGAUCCAUCAGAGGAGAUUAUGUGGAAAGCUGAGGGUUAAGAUAGCCAUGGAACAAUAUUAUAAGUUUGUACUGUUGUCUGUUACUAGUGAAUUUAAUUCUUUCCAAUCUUUUCCAUAGAGAUUGAAAUUACAUUAGCCAGAUCAAUGGUCACAUACCAUGUACCUGAGACUGUGUUAUUUGACUUGACCAAAGUUACCCUUGUCAAAGUGUAUUUGACAAAACAGUUGCAAUUAGAGUACCAUUUUGAUUAGUAAUUUACUGUCAUCCCACAGGAUUCAUCUGAUUUUUGCAAGGGUUAGAUCAAUGAAUUGAAUAUGAUAGGCCUAAUUAGCACAGUACUCCUUUUAUUCUUAAAGUAGACAUGAAUCUAUAUCAGUUUCAUAGGCUAUUACUACAAAAAUUGUUACUCCAAAUGUCAAGUAACUAAUACGGGAAUUCUGCCUGAUACUAAACAUACUCACUUUACCUAUGAACCUGGUGACAGAAAUAUCUAUUGAUGGGGUCACAUAGUCAUUGUGAACUAGACCUAGACUAGACUCCAUUUGUUACCUGGUUCCCACUUGCCCCCAUUCUAAUUGAGGGGCAACAAUGAUACAUUUAGUUCUUGGGUAUCAACAUCAACUCUGACCCUGUGUCUGGCAGUCUCUACAAUGCUUGGGUAGUCCCAUUUCUCCAGUGUAUUGUGACCUGAGUAAAUAGUCAUAGAUACCUUUGGAAAAAGUCUAGGGAAAUUUUUACUGAUGGUGCAGCAUGGUACUCUCUCCUGGGGAUCUGUCCUCUCCUUCCAUCAGCAGUUCUGGGUCAGAAAUGUGAUUCAGAUCUAAAAACAGGAAAGAAGUAGGGAUAUUUUACUUAUCAUUAUUCUAAUAAUCUAUUUUUGAUUUGUUCUGGUCACAGAGAUUGAGUAAAACCCGUAGUGGCUGCCUUUCUAUCUUGGUUCUAAUAAAUAUUUUUAUACUUCUGUGCAAGUUAUUGCCUCUGGCUGUCAUUCUUAUCUUGCUAAUGCCUUUGACAAUUGAAACUCACACAUGUCCUCUAUUAUUAAGGGAUCCUAUCAUCCUCACUGCUGUUACUGAUCCCAGUUUGGUAACAAUAUUUCCUAUGGUCUUCCUGGUCUACAGAGUACAGUCACCAUCAAGCUUCACAGUGAGGCUGGAGUUCUUCUCACCGAGUUAUUUAUGCUCUUGGUAAACAAUGACCUUUGGGAGCUCUUGUAGCCAGACAGUCAUUUGAUGUGUUUUCAGUUCUUACAUAGUUUAUCCACUUGAGAUUGCCUGCUUCUCUUAACUCUGAAUCCAUUUCUUCCACUGUCUACCAUGGCAUUCCUGGCUUUUCUACUUUGGCUGAUCAUUUUGUCCAAGCUUCUAACAGUCAGCUAUCUCUGCAGUUUGUUAGCAAUGUCUCACAGGGGUUGCAGCAAGGGUGGAAGCUCCUGUAUGUUGAGGGUUGAGGACUUGCUUCCAUAUUAAGAAAUGCUUUUUUACUCAGCUUAUGUUCUUCCACCCUUUUCUGCCCCCAUUGAACAUCUGCAGAAUACAGUUCUAAUGUCUUCUGAAUCCUUCUACUACAUAUUUUCUAGGUGCUAUAGUAUUUUCAUGGUCAUUUAUUUUUCCUUUCUUAGAAAAUUCAGGACAUCCUUGACCUUGCUAUGUGGUGAUUUAAUCUAGUUGUGGCCUUAGUGGUUAGGAAGGAAAGUAGGGGAAUUUUCUGAGGGGGCAAGGGUUGUCCUACGGGGACUGUAAAAAGACUUCAAAAAUGAUGAAGCAUUGAACUCUAUUUCAGCAGACACAGAGGUUUUAGCAGAAUUUGGUAAAAGAAGAUUCUCAACUGCACUAAUCCCAGACAUCCACAUCCUAUGUUUUAAAUUUACAUGGCUACUCUGUACUGUAAAUUCACCCAGCAUCUUAUUGACUUAUUUCCUUGAUAUCCUUAUUGCCAGCAAAGCAGGUAAUCCAACCUUUAAAACCAAAUUCUAACUUUCACCUCAUUUUUUUUUCAGGAACCAAACUCAGAUGGAGAAUAGUGUGCAGGAAUUUUUAUGAGGAAAGGCUCCAAGGAUCAACACUUCUCAGGUUUUCAAGUGUUGGUAGUGGCAACCCAGCUGCAACGAUGUAGCCAAUAGCAACAUAAGAAUCAAGACAGAAAAUGGUGUCAAAAUGUUUGCCACUAAGAUGGAGAAAGAGGGAGAAAAGAAGUUUUAUCAUUCACAAAAACACUUACUGAAAGUUACUUAUGAAGACCUCUGCUUCUCUGAUACAGCAGAUGAAAGGCAAAAAUCUGCUUUUGUGCAAAUUAAGAUGGACUUCUGUUUAGUAAUUCUUGAAAGAACUAUAUAAGCUCAUCUUAAGAGAAAGAGGACAUCCUUAUCCACUGAUUCAUCUUCUUCACUUUUUUCAGUAUCAUUUGUGGAAAUUACAGCAACUGAACAAAAACAUUACCUUAGAAACACAGUAAACACCAUGCUCUCUUAGAAGACAUUUUAAUAAGAACUAUAUUUGCUUCUGAAAAAAAAAAAAAUGUCAUAGAAGACAACAUACAAUUAAGCGCCUGGUUUUGUGCACAUUUACUAUAAUUUGUUUCGCCAAGGAAUGUUUUACUGACUCCUUUCACAAUUUUGAUAAGAAUAAGGAAGUUCUGCCACAUUGAAGAUAUUUUCAGAGCAGAGCAAAUGAACAAAGAAAAUGUCAAACCAAUCUUGCACCAGAAAGAUGCUGUUUUUGUUGUUGUUAUGCGGGGCUUUUAUGAUGCUGCUGGACAUUCCCCUUACCAUGAGAGGGAAAAAGAUGCAGCAAUUCCAGAACACGCAGUACACUUCAUCAGGAUGAAAAAAAAAUCACUUUGGGCCCACUACUUUAUCUUGUGUGUACAGCAGUCUCCUGUUUCAUUUCAAGCAGUGACACAAAAUUCUAUGUGUCUAAUCUAAGGAAAGAGGGUGAGUUGUUCAUACCCUGGAUACAGAAUCAAAGCCUAUGAGAUCUGCUGGAAUUCAAUAAUAAACAUUUACAGACCUUGCUGAUUCAAUAUUCAAUUUGACACAUUUGGAUAAAGCCAACAUCUCCCAGCUGUUUCCCAACAAGGUGGCUAGGGAAGUAAAGUAGCGUUGGAGAAACCCCAACAAAAGAACUGACAUUUUAGCAAUUUUGAAUGGGCACGUUUGAUGACCCAGAAAAUGCCAUUCCAACGAAUGCAAGAGUAGAUGUCGCCAGGUCAGACGGAGUAUUCUGGCAUCUGGAGACCACUUAGGUACGAUCGGCCUCCCUUGCUCGGGAGGAAUACACCGGGAAGCCUUCCAACAUGGUUGAAAAGGUUGGUAGAAAAACUUGGUUUAUAUAGCUCACCAUUUUAAAAAAUGAGAAUGCAUUGCCAUUGAAUUUUUGAGUCCUAAGAAAGAAUUUUUCUUGAGAGAACGUUGUCAGUUCAUGUAUAGUAUUUCAAAGGUCUGAGAAAAUACUUAUUUGUCUUGACCUUAGUUCUCAUCAGAACUGGUAUGAAUGCCAUAAUUUUCGUUUUUCUAGUAGGAAAUAAAGAGGGUGAGGAAUAAUAAGUAAAGUGACAUUAAGUAUUCUUUGAGAUGCUAACAGAUUAUGUUCCUGUUUCCAUCCCUGUUGCUGGCCCUGUAUAGCCCUUAAACACAAAUAAUCACACUUAUACAUAAUAAUCAUCUUAAGAACUACGUAAUUUAGAUCUCACAUUUCAAGAGUCCCUUCUCUGCCUUUGGAUCAAUUCUGACAAAUAUACUUAGAUAAAAGAGAAUUCAAUGGCUUCAUUCAAACCAACCAAUAAGAAACAUUUAUUUACCAUCUUCUCUAAAAACAAACCUCCAGACAAAGAAAGUAUCAGAUGGCAAGCUAACUCUUCUUCUGAAGGUUCCUCUUUCUUAUUUUUUCUUGCUUCGCUGGUGGUUGAGUGAUAGUGUCAGUUCCCUGUCCAAUGGACAGCAAAAUAAGAUGGUUAACAGCAUUUAGUGCUCAUGUUUUAGAGCAGAAAGAGUAGUGAGGAGAGGCUGACAAAGCUAUCUUAACCUCAGUGAUAAACUCCAGUUAUACUACAUGCCAAAUAGAAAUCCCUAUAACCCUCUGGAUUCCUAUGGUAACUUAGUAACUAUUAUUUGCAUUCAAUGGAAAGAGUUAGCUAGCAGAAGAGUUCAGUUACACAAUCAAAUGACUGAAGAUAUUUCAUAAAGUCAGUCUAACAGUGGUUAGGUUGGUUUUGAGAUGAGUCAAAUAUUAUUGAAGAUGUUCCUGCUAUCUUCCACUAAGUUUUAUUUUAAUACCAAUAGCAAAUAUGUAUCAUAUGCAGAAAGUAUAUAUUUUGCCAUUUGUCACCCUAAAUCAUUUACAUAGUGUUAACUCAGCCUAGAGAGAAAAAUUCGGGCAUAGAAGAUAUUACACUAUAAAACUGUUCAACUUGAGAAAUGUCUACCUGGAAAUUUUCAGCAUUUUUUAAAGUGGUCUUUUGAAAGAUAACUUUUAUGCCCAUUUAAUUAAAAUACAACAUUCAUUUGGAUAUAUUGCAAUCAAAUCGUGUAAUAGAUACAUAUCUGCACAUAGUCCACUAGAUAUCAUUUUGAAGUAUAUAUCAUGGAGUUUUGUCUGGUCUUUGAACUAGAUGACUAACAAAUUGUCCAUUCUCCUAAUUCUGAUAUGGGUAGCUGCUAAACUCCACUGGCUGAUGUUUUAUGCUUUAUAAAUAAAUUAAUUAAUUAAAAUAUAUAUAAAUGACAAUUUCUGGAUUCUUCCAUCUGGGUCAGUCCUCCUGAGAUCAUUUUGGGUUUUUGGUCAUUGGCCAACUUUGCACUAUUGGCAGAAUGUUGGAUAUUAAAAAGUAUCGUAUUCAUACACCAAUCACCUGCACCUUAAAACGGAAAACAAACGGCAGCAAAAGCCAAAAUUGACAAAUGGGAUCUCAUUAAACUAAAAAGCUUCUGCACAGCAAAAGA